rnacentral:rRNA from 1 species
ACGAACGCUGGCGGCAGGCUUAACACAUGCAAGUCGCACGCACCUUUCGGGGUGAGUGGCAGACGGGUGAGUAACGCGUGGGAAUCUACCCUUCUCUACGGGAUAGCUCCGGGAAACUGGAAUUAAUACCGUAUACGUCCUGAGGGAGAAAGAUUUAUCGGGGAAGGAUGAGCCCGCGUUGGAUUAGCUAGUUGGUGGGGUAAAGGCCUACCAAGGCGACGAUCCAUAGCUGGUCUAAGAGGAUGAUCAGCCACAUUGGGACUGAGACACGGCCCAAACUCCUACGGGAGGCAGCAGUGGGGAAUAUUGGACAAUGGGCGCAAGCCUGAUCCAGCCAUGCCGCGUGAGUGAUGAAGGCCCUAGGGUUGUAAAGCUCUUUCAGUGGGGACGAUAAUGACGGUACCCACAGAAGAAGCCCCGGCUAACUUCGUG